rnacentral:rRNA from 1 species
UACGUAGGGCGCAAGCGUUAUCCGGAAUUAUUGGGCGUAAAGAGCUCGUAGGCGGUUUGUCGCGUCUGCCGUGAAAGUGCGGGGCUUAACUCCGGAUCUGCGGUGGGUACGGGCAGACUAGAGUGCAGUAGGGGAGACUGGAAUUCCUGGUGUAGCGGUGAAAUGCGCAGAUAUCAGGAGGAACACCGAUGGCGAAGGCAGGUCUCUGGGCUGUAACUGACGCUGAGGAGCGAAAGCAUGGGGAGCGAACAGG